CCCAUAUACUUUUUAUUGCUUUAUAUCGUAAAACUUUUCUUUGCCUGACGUUUGUCGUUUGUCCUUGAUUUGAACGCGAAGCUUAAGCUAUAUUGCCCGCUGCGAACAGGGUUAUAUACGCAGGUUCAUGUGUCGGUUUUUCCUGGCUAGUGUUAGGUUAACCCGAACUUAAAAUAAACAACGAAUAGACAAAUCAAACCCUAUAAAUCAAAUAAUUAUGUCAAUCAAACCCCAAAUUAACCUAAUAUUAUAAACCUCUAACCAAGCACAGGUUCAAAAUUAUCGUUGAAGAUCCACCACAUUGUAUGUUCAGAAGAUCAUCUCGAAUCAGGCGAAUGAACGAUAAUCCAGAGAUUGGACUCUGUUGGGAUAAGUACGCCAUUUGCUGCGUCCAGAUUGACGUACAUACUUUUACCAUUGAUUUAUUGCAUUUAGUUAACCACAAUUUAAAAUAUCGCAUUUGAAAAGUUAAUUAACAAGGCUAAUAAAACAUUCUAUUUCUAUAUUUUAUACAUUGUCACGCAUUUGUUCAAAAGCGUACGCCACGUUCAGUACUGUCACUUCAUCAAACAUUUUACCAACAAUCAUCAUUCCUACAGGUAACCCAUGUGAAAAUCCAGCGUUGAUUGACAAGGCUGGAUGACCUGAGACAUCAAAUGGAGCAGUGUUGUUGGUCAUUUCGAAGGCUUUCUCAAGAUGUUCUAGGUUUAAAAAUCAAAGACGAAGAAAUAUGUGUUAUAUAACUUACACGUCCCUAAAGGUAUACAUUAGACAACUAAACGACGUUCUUGACAAUACACAUUUAGCCAUCAAUUAUGGCGUGAGCAGUUUUUGCUUGAAGAAGACGCAAGGAUCAGCACUGCUCGAAGGGUUUUAACAAUGAUUGCACUUUCACGCCCCAUUUAUUUUUGGAUAAUCUACAUGUUUUUCGUAACAUCCGAAAGAAAUCUGAAUGGAAUUUGAUGGGGCUAAAUCGCCGAAAUAUGCUGAUUUCUACGACACCUUUUCGCGCGCUGUUUACCUUGCAAAACAAGUUGUCUACAAGAUUAUUUGCUUCAACAAGGCAGCAUUUCACAAGAAUCAUGUUAAGGGGAGAAAGACUUCCAGGUGUGAAAGUGUAACCCGAGACGCUGUAUUAAGA